GAUGAACGCUGGCGGCGUGCCUAAUACAUGCCAGUCGAGCGAACAGACGAGGAGCUUGCUCCUUUGACGUUAGCGGCGGACGGGUGAGUAACACGUGGGUAACCUACCUAUAAGACUGGGAUAACUUCGGGAAACCGGAGCUAAUACCGGAUAAUAUUUCGAACCGCAUGGUUCGAUAGUGAAAGAUGGCUUUGCUAUCACUUAUAGAUGGACCUGCGCCGUAUUAGCUAGUUGGUAAGGUAACGGCUUACCAAGGCAACGAUACGUAGCCGACCUGAGAGGGUGAUCGGCCACACUGGAACUGAGACACGGUCCAGACUCCUACGGGAGGCAGCAGUAGGGAAUCUUCCGCAAUGGGCGAAAGCCUGACGGAGCAACGCCGCGUGAGUGAUGAAGGUCUUCGGAUCGUAAAACUCUGUUAUUAGGGAAGAACAAACGUGUAAGUAACUGUGCACGUCUUGACGGUACCUAAUCAGAAAGCCACGGCUAACUACGUG
rnacentral:rRNA from 1 species